UCCCAAGUUCAAUUCUCCUUUUUUUCUCUCCAUAUAUUUCUCAUGUUUUAGCAAUCGCUAAGAUUAGAAAUAGACUGAAUACCGGGCCCAUCUUCUAUUCUUUAACUACAACUUGACUAAUUCUAGCCGUAACUGUUAGAAAUCGAAAAGAGCGAAAGAAAGCUCGUUUUGGCAUCCAUUGCAACCUGUUAAUCAAGAUGAGCCUCUUCCAUAGAACCUACCCCCUAGAUUCCAAUAAUAUUCUCGUGGCGAGUGCAGAAGUGUUCUUGAUUUACAAUGUGGCGAGUGACUGCAUCUUUUAUCAAUUCCCUUACAUCUACGGUAGCCCGAAAGGACGUGGCCAGCGCCGUUUGUUAACCCUCCUAGAGCUUUUGAACUGAGCACAUUGAGGUGCUCAGCGCAAAUCCCAUGUCCUAGCCACUGGCUCUCUAUGCAAUUGCGAUUGUGCUGGUAAAACACGGAGUAGCAACUACGACAUGUAAGGUUAUCAUGCUCAUGCUCUACUUUGUUAAUGCAGUUUUCUUCUCAUAAGACAAGAACCUCGACUAAUUCUAUUCGCUUUUGAAGCGAAACAUCGUGAUUUCGCAUAAAUUAAAACUCAAGCAUAAUCCAUUUCCUCAAAUUUGCGAGCAAGUUAUCCAAAACAUUUGGACUCCAAUAUUAAGAUCUGUAACCGUCGGUUCCAUUAUUAACUUGUGGCUCCUCCACAAUUCCAAAAUACUCCAAUCACCCAAAACAAUAUACGCCUCAAUCAAAACAAAUAUCCCAUCCGAAUGAGAUAGUUGGCACUCACGCAGUGACUUGGUGUGUGAGCUGAGCCUGUCUCACUCUCACGGCGAUCUGUCAUGCUAGAGUGACAGCUCAUAUUCGUGCGGUGUGAACCGGCCUUUAUCAGCCAAUGAUGGUUCCAGCCCACAGGUGGAGCGUUAAUAGCGCAAAUACAGGCUGCGGAAAUGCGAAAAGCAUAAAUUUAUUUACCUUAGAUUCUGGGUUUCCUAUAAAUAGGAAAUAAAUCCCAGAAUCGUUCUCUUUUGGCUGGUGAAUCUAGAACGGUCUAGAAGUGCGCGCGUGUGUAGAUUUUUAUUAGAUAGAGGUGUUAGUCAGUUAGUUAAAACGGCUAACUAUAGUACGUCGAAUUAAAAUUGUGUUAGUAAAAGUUAUCAUUGUAAAAAUCUGACUCUUAAAAGUUAAUUGAACGAACACAAACAUCGACAAAACAAGUGAAAGCUAUAAGAAAAAGGUAAAAAUUUAUUGUAUUAUUGUGAAAAUUGUGGAAUAAUUGUUAGUGACGUCACAGGGGUCUAAUGUGUGGUUAGGUCCGAGGCAAGGGCCUUUUUCUUUUAUUUUGGGCUUUUUCCCAGCAAACGGCCGGAGAAAGCGACGACGAGCCACCUCUAGCGAC